rnacentral:misc_RNA from 1 species
AGUCAUCCGUGUUUCGUGCGUGUUUUCGCGAUUGCGAACACAAUGCGGCCCGACAACUCGCUGAUGAAUGCUCGUACAUAUUAUAUUUUUUUAAAUUACUGAUCGCUGGCAACUGCUCGAGAUUGCAUAAGGGCUCUUCGCGCGAUGCAUUCAUACUUGAUAAUACAUAAAGACGACUGAAUUCCAAGUUGGCAACGAUUCCAAGCAUAUGUCCCAAAAGGCGAAACGGAUUUGGAGGAACUAGCAGUUGGAGGGAUAAUGUUAAUGUUGUGUGUCCGCUA